GGCAAUAACAGUUGAAUGGAAAAAGAGGUACUUGGGUUGGUUAUGCAAAAAGACUCUUGUCCCUGAGGUGCUGGGAGCCAAGACCUUAGCUAAGACUCUGAUAUAGCCGGUGAGAGGACAUUCCGAUCAUUGGAACUGAGAUUACCAUCUAACUGUUUGGAAAGUUGCUCACCCACCUCCCUCCCCCACUAUCUUAGCAGAACUUCCUCAUGGUGUGUGCAUAAAUUGUGGCUGCAAAAUAAAAAUUUCAGAGCUUGAUCAGACCUCAUGACUUGCUCUCAUUCUUCGUGUCUCUUGUCCCCUCCAUUCUCUCGCCCCCUACCCUAGGUUUCCGUCGAUAACCCCACAGGCCGGGGCACCUGGCACCUGACGUGGGACCAAUUUGGGUCUGGGGUCCUAGAGAACGUCGCUCCCCAAUGGUCGACCAAGGAGCAUAGGACCGCCACUUCAGAGAAGGAGUGAGUGAAGGAUCGCCGCUUUAGCCCAGAGUGAGUGAAUAUCUGCAUGGUGAUCACUGCAGAUUUGCCCGUCUGUGAGACUGAUACAUUUUAAGGAGAUAUAUAUAGGACAGGAUUGUGAUUACAGCUAGCUAGCUCGCUCUGCAUUCCUCAUCAAUAAAGAUUGAACUGCAUCCCACUCAGCCAUGAGUCUAUGGUCAUCUCUCUCCUGCCUGUGAAGCUAGACCAGCAUCUGGAGCCUGAAACAGGGACCAGCACCAAUGUGGGACCUAACCCACCCAUCCACCAGGUGGGGGUCCUUGCGCACUGUAACACAUGCGCUCAACCAGGUGUGCCAUCACCCAACCCCAUGGGAAGACGUUUUUAAAAAUUGGUGCCUGCAGCAACCCAGCAGGAACCAUCAGAAGCACCCUAAAUUGAAUUUUGAGGAGACUUUUGGAUUAGGACACCCUCCGGGGACUCAUGAUGCUACAUGGCGAGAUCUGGGUAAUCUGGUUCAAGGUGAAAGAAGCAAAAACUGCCUACCACUUUUCUCUCAAUUCCUCCCUCGUUGUUCUCUUUGAAUAUCUUAAGUUUGCUAUCUGCUUUUUUGCGUUUUAAAGAAAGUGAUUUGAAUAACUGAAUUUUUGUAUGACAUUGACUUUACAAAUAAAAUGCUGGAUGCAGCCAUGAUGUCUAGAGACAUCCAGAAA